rnacentral:rRNA from 1 species
GAAAACCUUACGAGGAUAAGACAAACGUAGGAUUGACAGAUUGAUCGCUCUUUCUUGAUUGUUUGGGUGGUGGUGCAUGGCCGUUCUUAGUUCGUGGAUUAAUUUGUCUGGUUAAUUCCGUUAACGAACGAGACCUUAACUUGCUAAUUGGGGUAUAGUAUUUUAUACUGUAACCUAUUAGAAGGACCAUGUGUUUCUAACACAAGGAAGCGUGAGGCAAUAA